rfam:Cavia porcellus supercont2_92 genomic scaffold, whole genome shotgun sequence.
GGGGAUUUAGUUCAGCGGCAUAAGCGCCUGCCUUGUAAGCAGGCAGUUGUGAGUUCAAUCCCUG